UACGGGGGGGGCAAGCGUUGUUCGGAAUUACUGGGCGUAAAGGGCUCGUAGGCGGCCAACUAAGUCGGAUGUGAAAUCCCCAGGCUUAACCUGGGAACUGCAUCCGAUACUGGAUGGCUUGAGAUUGGGAGAGGGAUGCGGAAUUCCAGGUGUAGCGGUGAAAUGCGUAGAUAUCUGGAGGAACACCGGUGGCGAAGGCGGCAUCCUGGACCAACACUGACGCUGAGGAGCGAAAGCCAGGGGAGCAAACGGG
rnacentral:rRNA from 1 species